GUGUGAGUAGCUGAAAGUCUCCUCCUAGAUGUUCCUUCAGUCUCCUAAAGAUAAUGUCCUCAGAGGCUGCUGGGGGAAGGGAGGAAAAUGCAGCUGCAAUGAAGGGGUUCCAGUCUUGUAAGGCUGGUGCUCUCAGCAUCAGGACUUAAGUGCUAAAGAGAGAAACGGGUGUUGUACUCGCCCUCUGAACAGAAGAGAAUUUCACCUUUUGUGAUUCUGGCAAGACUACUCCUGGAAUUCUGUGUUUAUUUCAUGACUACCACCUUACCAGAAAGGUGGAGAGAAGAUGGAGGGAGUACAGGAAAGGGCAUCAAAUAGUCCUUUGAUGACUGGACGGACUGAGUUAUGACGAAAAGCCUGAAAGGAAUAGGUCCAAUGAGGGAUGCUAAGGAGGAGGUAGCAUCAGGAGUGUCUGCUUCAUGCUCCCGGUGUUGCUCAGGAAUGUAGCCAAACCUGAUGAAGGUAGUCUUUUCAUGUGGGACAAUGAAGGCGCAACAGUCUGAUGAUAAAUCUUGUGCUCUGAGCAACUUGUGGGGAGGUAUCAGCCAUAAAGGUAAAACUGGCUCCUUCAAACUAUUCCACUUGCUAUCUUAAGCUAAUUACCAAGUUACUCCCAGAAAAGCAAU